AUACUUACCUGGCAGGAGAGUUACUAUGAUCAAGAAAGUGGUUUCCUCAGAGCAAUGUUCACCCAUUGCAUUCACACGCGGCAGUGUUCUGAUCCCUGCCAUUUCCCCAGAUACAUAAUUUGUGGUCGUGGGCGAGCUGCACUUGUGCGCUUCCCUG